CCUACGGGAGGCAGCAGUGGGGAAUAUUGGGCAAUGGAGGAAACUCUGACCCAGCGACGCCGCGUGAGGGAUGAAGGCCUUCGGGUUGUAAACCUCUUUCAGUAGGGAAGAAGCGAAAGUGACGGUACCUACAGAAGAAGCACCGGCUAACUAUGUGCCAGCAGCCGCGGUAAUACAUAGGGUGCAAGCGUUGUCCGGAAUUAUUGGGCGUAAAGAGCUCGUAGGUGGUUCGAUACGUCGGAUGUGAAAAUCAGGGGCUCAACCCCUGACCUGCAUCCGAUACGGUCGAGCUAGAGUUUGGUAGGGGAGACUGGAAUUCCUGGUGUAGCGGUGGAAUGCGCAGAUAUCAGGAGGAACACCGAUGGCGAAGGCAGGUCUCUGGGCCAAUACUGACACUGAGGAGCGAAAGCGUGGGGAGCGAACAGGAUUAGAUACCCUGGUAGUCCACGCCGUAAACGGUGGGCGCUAGUUGUGCGAACCUUCCACGGUUUGUGCGACGCNGCUACGCAUAGCGCCCGCCGUCGGGAGGUACGAGCGCGAGAAGUAAACUACGAAGGUAAGUAGUUAGCGUGAGAGUGCCGACGGCGACGACGAGGGAGGAGG
rnacentral:rRNA from 1 species